AUUGAACGCUGGCGGCAGGCCUAACACAUGCAAGUCGAGCGGAUGGAGGGAGCUUGCUCCUGGAUUCAGCGGCGGACGGGUGAGUAAUGCCUAGGAAUCUGCCUGGUAGUGGGGGAUAACGUCCGGAAACGGGCGCUAAUACCGCAUACGUCCUGAGGGAGAAAGUGGGGGGUCUUCGGACCUCACGCUAUCAGAUGAGCCUAGGUCGGAUUAGCUAGUUGGUGGGGUAAAGGCCUACCAAGGCGACGAUCCGUAACUGGUCUGAGAGGAUGAUCAGUCACACUGGAACUGAGACACGGUCCAGACUCCUACGGGAGGCAGCAGUGGGGAAUAUUGGACAAUGGGCGAAAGCCUGAUCCAGCCAUGCCGCGUGUGUGAAGAAGGUCUUCGGAUUGUAAAGCACUUUAAGUUGGGAGGAAGGGCAGUAAGUUAAUACCUUGCUGUUUUGACGUUACCAACAGAAUAAGCACCGGCUAACUUCGUG
rnacentral:rRNA from 1 species